rnacentral:rRNA from 1 species
UGAGUGCGGGCUGCUACGGCAGCGAAGUGGGUGACGUCAAGCUUCCAAGAAAAGCCCUAUACCCGUUAAGGCAUGAUUGCCUGUACCCGAAACCGACACAGGUGGGGUGGUAGAGAAUACCGAGGGGCGCGAGGUAACUCUCUCUAAGGAACUCGGCAAAAUGGCCCCGUAGCUUCGGGAGAAGGGGUGCCACCGCAAGGUGGUCGCAGUGAAGAGGCCCAGGCGACUGUUUACCAAAAACACAGGUCUCCGCUAAGUCGCAAGACGAUGUAUGGGGGCUGACGCCUGCCCAGUGCCGGAAGGUUAAGGAAGCUGGUCAGCGUAAGCGAAGCUGGCGACUGAAGCCCCGGUGAACGGCGGCCGUAACAAUAACGGUCCUAAGGUAGCGAAAUUCCUUGUCGGGUAAGUUCCGACCCGCACGAAAGGCGUAACGAUCUGGGCGCUGUCUCGGAGAGAGGCUCGGCGAAAUAGAAUUGUCUGUGAAGAUGCGGACUACGUGCACCCGGACAGAAAGACCCUAUGAAGCUUUACUGUAGCUUGGUAUUGUGCCCGGGCUCGCAAUGCGCAGGAUAGGUGGGAGGCUUUGAUCAUCGGCUUGCGGGUCGAUGUGAGCCACUGGUGAGAUACCACUCAUUGCGAGCUAGGGUUCUAACGGCCACCCGUGAUCCGGGGGCCGGACAGUAUCAGGUGGGCAGUUUGACUGGGGCGGUCGCCUCCUAAAAGGUAACGGAGGCGCGCAAAGGUUCCCUCGGGCUGGUUGGAAAUCAGCCGACGAGUGUAAAGGCAGAAGGGAGCUUGACUGUGAGACCUACAAGUCGAACAGGGACGAAAGUCGGCCUUAGUGAUCCGACGGUUCUGAGUGGAAGGGCCGUCGCUCAACGGAUAAAAGUUACUCUAGGAUAACAGGCUGAUCUCCCCCAAGAGUUCACAUCGACGGGGAGGUUUGGCACCUCGAUGUCGGCUCAUCGCUACCUGGGGCUGAAGUCGGUCCCAAGGGUUGGGCUGUUCGCCCAUUAAAGCGGUACGCGAGCUGGGUUCAGAACGUCGUGAGACAGUUCGGUCCAUAUCCGGUGCAUGCGCAGGAAUAUUGAGAGGAGUUCUCCCUAGUACGAGAGGACCGGGAGGAACGCACCUCUGGUGUACCAGUUAUCGUGCCAACGGUAAACGCUGGGUAGCCAUGUGCGGAGAGGAUAACCGCUGAAAGCAUCUAAGUGGGAAGCCCACCUCAAGAUGAGUAUUCCCAUGGCAUAAGCCAGUAAGGUCACGGGAAGAACACCCGUUGAUAGGCUCUACGUGGAAGCGCAGUAAUGCGUG